GACAAUUUUGAAAAAAUAUAUAUAAUAGUCAAUAUAUUUGUAUAUAUUUAAACGACAAAUUGUGCUGUAAAGUUGAAUCAAAACUAAUAUGAAUACUUGAACAUUGAUUGACUUUCAAUGGAAGUUUAAAAAUUAUUAGAAACCUAACUCAAGAUAUCAACAAAUCAUGUUUUUUUAUAUUUUCAUCCUUAGUAAUGGGGCAUAAUGAACUUCUAUUUGCCUUAUAGUUUAAUAAGUCUAUUUAAAUGUGUGCCAACAUUACGCCAACCAAAAUGGAGAAUUCAAAUUUUCGUCCGUUUCGAAAUUGAAAAAUACAUUUUUCAGAAACACAUUGAAAAUAAACAGUAAUAAUAAUAAUUUGGCACUUAUAACUUUAUUAUAUGAUUAGCCGGUAUUAUACUCUUUCUGUGGUAUGAGCAUUCAUAAAACUAAUGCGUUUUUGUAAGAUGUUUAUCUCGUGUUAAAAAUACCCAAAGCUUUGACUGUCUAGGGUUAGAACUGAUUACUACCAAAAAUUGUUAAAGUUCGUGAUUUUAUUUCGUCACCCAAUUAGUGGAAUGCAGGAACAAAAUAGUUGCAAUGAACAUAGGUGUGAAAUAUGUUUGAAUGAAUUUCGAUAAUUUGUUUAC